rnacentral:rRNA from 1 species
CUGGCUCAGGACGAACGCUGGCGGCGUGCUUAACACAUGCAAGUCGAGCGAGCAGAUUCCCUUCGGGGAUGAAGCUAGCGGCGGACGGGUGAGUAACACGUGGGCAACCUGCCUUAUAGAGGGGGAUAGCCUUCCGAAAGGAAGAUUAAUACCGCAUAACAUCAGAUUAUCGCAUGGUAGACUGAUCAAAGGAGCAAUCCGCUAUAAGAUGGGCCCGCGUCGCAUUAGCUAGUUGGUGAGGUAACGGCUCACCAAGGCGACGAUGCGU